GCCUCGGUGGUGGAAUUGGUAGACGCAGCGGACUCAAAAUCCGCCGCCGCAAGGCGUGCCGGUUCGAUUCCGGCCCGAGGCACCA
rnacentral:tRNA from 2 species